GUUUAAUGGAUCUUGAGAAUGUCCUACAAAUUUCAAACACUGCAAUUAAAUUUGGAUAUAGAAUAGACAAUAAAUUUUCAUUUGCAAAGAACUAUAUAUAAGCAUAUGGAAGCAAGAAAAAUUGUCUUGGCUGUAGAAGGGAUACCUUAUUUCAUUUGUUAAAAAAAAAAUCUAUAUGCAAUUGAGUGGAAAUUUCAAGGUGAAGUAACAUUAUGCAUUCUAGGAACAUUCAAUGGAUUUCAGUGAAUUAUUUCCACAUCUCCAAGAAAAGUAUUAAUAUUAAAUAUGCAGAACAAAUCAAUGCACCAUGGGAGAAUUUACCAAAAAGAUGUGA
rnacentral:misc_RNA from 1 species